rnacentral:rRNA from 1 species
CAGUAGCCACGGGAAUACAGAGGGUGCGAGCGUUAAUCGGAUUUACUGGGCGUAAAGCGUGCGUAGGCGGCUUCUUAAGUCGGAUGUGAAAUCCCUGAGCUUAACUUAGGAAUUGCAUUCGAUACUGGGAAGCUAGAGUAUGGGAGAGGAUGGUAGAAUUCCAGGUGUAGCGGUGAAAUGCGUAGAGAUCUGGAGGAAUACCGAUGGCGAAGGCAGCCAUCUGGCCUAAUACUGACGCUGAGGUACGAAAGCAUGGGGAGCAAACAGGAUUAGAUACCCUGUAGUCCCGUCUCUUAUACAC